GUGUCAGCAGCCGCGGUAAAACCAGCACCUCAAGUGGUCAGGAGGAUUAUUGGGCCUAAAGCAUCCGUAGCCUGCUUUGUAAGUUUCCGGUUAAAUCCAUUAGCUCAACUAAUGGGCCGCCGGAAAAACUGCAAAGCUAGGGAGUGGGAGAGGUAGACGGUACUCGGUAGGAAGGGGUAAAAUCCUUUGAUCUAUUGAUGACCACCAGUGGCGAAGGCGGUCUACCAGAACACGUUCGACGGUGAGGGAUGAAAGCUGGGGGAGCAAACCGGAUUAGAUACCCGGGUAGUCCCAGCUGUAAACGAUGCAGACUCGGUGAUGCACUGGCUUGUGGCCAGUGCAGUGCCGCAGGGAAGCCGUUAAGUUUGCCGCCUGGGAAGUACGUACGCAAGUAUGAAACUUAAAGGAAUUGGCGGGGGAGCACCACAAGGGGUGAAGCCUGCGGUUCAAUUGGAGUCAACGCCAGAAAUCUUACCCGAGGAGGCAGCAGAAUGAAGGUCAAGCUGGAGACUUUACCAGACAAGCUGAGAAGUGGUGCAUGGCCGUCGCCAGCUCGUGCCGUGAGAUGUCCUGUUAAGUCAGGUAACGAGCGAGAUCCCUGCCUCUAGUUGCCACCAUUACUCUCAGGAGUAGUGGGGCGAAUUAGCGGGACCGCCACAGUUAAUGUGGAGGAAGGAAGGGGCCACGGCAGGUCAGUAUGCCCUGAAACCUUGGGGCCACACGCGGGCUGCAAUGAUAGUGACAAUGAGUUCCUAAACCGAAAGGUGGAGGCAAUCUUCAAACGCUAUCACAGUUAUGAUUGAGGGCUGCAACUCGCCCUCAUGAAUAUGGAAUCCCUAGUAACUGCGUGUCAUUACCGCGCGGUGAAUACGUCCC
rnacentral:rRNA from 1 species